CUCCGACUCAUCAGUGCCCAGAUGCAGAGUUCGGCGGGGUCGGAGCCACACAGGCAACAACUUGACCUACCUCGUGGCCAAACAGAAGCAGCUGUGUCGCCUCUCCCAGAACGUGCUCAAGGCCUCCCCUCCGACACAAUUCCUGUGGCUGGGCGGAGCGGAGGACAGCACGCAGGGAUCUCAGAGGCCUUGAGGGGAUCAGCACCCUCGCCUGCACCCUUUAUGUAUCCAGGGGCCCUUCCACCACCACCACCAUCACCUCCUGUAGCCUAAGAUAUCCUACAGGGACCGAAGGACUGAGUUGGAUGACUGGAGGAGAGAGGAAAAGAAAAAGUAAGAGGAGAAGAAGAAAAAGAAGUAGGAGUAAGAGAGAGGACGAGCAGG